rnacentral:snRNA from 1 species
GUGCUCACUUUGGCAGCACAUAUACUAAAAUUGGAACGAUACAGAGGAGAUUAGCAUGGCCCCUGCGUAAGGAUGACACACAAAUUCGUGAAGCAUUCCAUAUUUUU